CUACGGGAGGCAGCAGUGGGGAAUUUUGGACAAUGGGGGAAACCCUGAUCCAGCCAUGCCGCGUGCAGGAUGAAGGCCUUCGGGUUGUAAACUGCUUUUGUACGGAACGAAAAGGUCCUUUCUAAUAAAGAGGGCUCAUGACGGUACCGUAAGAAUAAGCACCGGCUAACUACGUGCCAGCAGCCGCGGUAAUACGUAGGGUGCGAGCGUUAAUCGGAAUUACUGGGCGUAAAGCGUGCGCAGGCGGUUAUAUAAGACAGAUGUGAGAUCCCCGGGCUCAACCUGGGAACUGCAUUAGUGACUGUAUAGCUGGAGUGCGGCAGAGGGGGAUGGAAUUCCGCGUGUAGCAGUGAAAUGCGUAGAUAUGCGGAGGAACACCGAUGGCGAAGGCAAUCCCCUGGGCCUGCACUGACGCUCAUGCACGAAAGCGUGGGGAGCAAACAGGAUUAGAUACCCCGGU
rnacentral:rRNA from 1 species